UGUGUGUGUGUGUGGCGCGCGCGUCGGCGGGGCUAUGAAUGGGCAGAAAGGGGUGUGCUCUCACACACAGACAUCAUCAUAGCAGCAGUGAGAUGAGGAGUGCCGUCUACUCUACUGCCCGUUUGUACUGAGGAGAAAGAAGGGAGAAAAAGAGUUGUACAACCGCAAUAUUCCAAAAGAAUAUCAUCCAAUCAGCACUUACCUUCUCUUGAGACGAAUCGUCAAGUCAGCCAUGGAUCAGAAGGCAAAUGAGUGUCCCACCACUACGUCUCCUCAGAAGUACAUGAAGAACAGGUCCAAAUCCACAGAGGAGAUGCAACAGACCAAGAAGUCCUUCUCUUCUCAAAAAUCCCUCCCGGGCAGACCAGAGCUGGAAAAAGUAAAGGAGUCGUCUGAAGGCUCCGACACGCCGUCGUCCUCCACUGAGGAGCUAAAGUGACAAAGGGAAAGACAUCAAGAGUCAAGUUACAAAAUCUUCACUUAACAUGCAUUUCAAAUGUGAUUCGAGGAAACAUUCAUUAUUCAAGAUAUUUGUGAACUAGAUUAGAAAACGCAAAAGUAAAGGAUUGGUGGAAGGAAUCUGUACGAAACGAAAAAAGACACACACACACACACAGACACACACAUACACACAGUCCAAAAUAUUGAAACCGUUGCUUGUAAAUCUGUGAUGAUUCUCCUUCGUGGUAAUGUGAGUGGCGUAUACUUACCAAACUGAAUAUGUGUGUGUGUGUGUGUGCAAUAAAGUGAUGCUGUUAACUGGU